rnacentral:rRNA from 1 species
UUGGGAUAGGCUUGCGUCUGAUUAGCUAGUUGGUGUGGGUAAUGGCACACCAAGGCUACGAUCAGUAACUGGUCUGAGAGGAUGAUCAGUCACACUGGAACUGAGACACGGUCCAGACUCCUACGGAGGCAGCAGUGAGGAAUAUUGGGCAAUGCACGAAAGUGUGACCCAGCAACGCCGCGUGGAGGGAUGAAGGUAUUCUAUAUCGUAAACUCCUGUGAGAGCAGACGAAAGACAGAUUAUUAAUUUGGAUGACUGUAUGCUCAGAGGAAGCCCCGGCUAACUACGUG